rnacentral:rRNA from 1 species
GACGAACGCUGGCGGCGUGCUUAACACAUGCAAGUCGAACGGGCCCGCCCCUGUUUUUGGGGGUGGGUUGAGUGGCGAACGGGUGAGUAUCACGUGAGUAACCUGCCCCCUGCUCCUGGAUAACUGCUUGAAAGGGCGGCUAAUACGGGGUGUGCCGGCUGGUCCGCAUGGGCCUGGUCGGGAUAGUUUCAUCUUCGGGUGUUUCGGUGGGGGAUGGGCUCGCGGCCUAUCAGCUUGUUGGUGGGGUGAUGGCCCACCAAGGCGGUGACGGGUAGCCGGCCUGAGAGGGUGGGCGGCCACACUGGGACUGAGACACGGCCCAGACGCCUGCGGGAGGCAGCAGUGGGGGGUAUUGCACAAUGGGCGGAAGCCUGAUGCAGCGACGUCGCGUGAGGGAUGGAGGCCGUCGGGUUGGGAACCUCUUUCUCCGGUGGUGAAGGCCCUGUCCGUUGCGGCGGGGUUGACGGUAGCCGGGGAUGAAGCGCCGGCUAACUACGUG